rnacentral:rRNA from 1 species
AGUGAACGCUGGCGGUAGGCCUAACACAUGCAAGUCGAACGGCAGCACAGUAAGAGCUUGCUCUUACGGGUGGCGAGUGGCGGACGAGUGAGGAAUACAUCGGAAUCUACUUUUUCGUGGGGGAUCACGUAGGGAAACUUACGCUAAUACCGCAUACGACCUACGGGUGAAAGCAGGGGAUCUUCGGACCUUGCGCGAUUGAAUGCGCCGAUGUCGGAUUUGCUAGUUGGCGGGGUACAGGCCCACCAAGGGGACGAUCCGUAGCUGGUCUGAGAGGAGGAUACGCCCCACUGGAACUGAGACACGGUCCCGACUCCUACGGGAGGCAGCAGUGUGGAAUAUUGGACAAUGGGCGCAAGCCUGAUCCAGCCAUACCGCGUCGGUGAAGAAGGCCUUCGGGUUGUAAAGCCCUUUUGUUGGGAAAGAAAAGCAGCAGGUUAAUACCCCGCUGUUCUGACGGUACCCAAAGAAUAAGCACCGGCUAACUUCGUG